rnacentral:rRNA from 1 species
AAACGACUCUCGGCAACGGAUAUCUCGGCUCUCGCAUCGAUGAAGAACGUAGCGAAAUGCGAUACUUGGUGUGAAUUGCAGAAUCCCGUGAACCAUCGAGUCUUUGAACGCAAGUUGCGCCCCAAACCUUCUGGUCGAGGGCACGUCUGCCUGGGUGUCACAA